rnacentral:rRNA from 1 species
CGUAUCGGAUUAUUGGGCGUAAGAGCUCGUAGGCGGUUUGUCGCGUCUGCCGUGAAAGUCCGGGGCUCAACUCCGGAUCUGCGGUGGGUACGGGCAGACUAGAGUGAUGUAGGGGAGACUGGAAUUCCUGGUGUAGCGGUGAAAUGCGCAGAUAUCAGGAGGAACACCGAUGGCGAAGGCAGGUCUCUGGGCAUUAACUGACGCUGAGGAGCGAAAGCAUGGGGAGCGAACAGGAUUAGAUACCCUGGUAGUCCAUGCCGUAAACGUUGGGCACUAGGUGUGGGGGACAUUCCACGUUUUCCGCGCCGUAGCUAACGCAUUAAGUGCCCCGCCUGGGGAGUACGGCCGCAAGGCUAAAACUCAAAGGAAUUGACGGGGGCCCGCACAAGCGGCGGAGCAUGCGGAUUAAUUCGAUGCAACGCGAAGAACCUUACCAAGGCUUGACAUGGACCGGACCGCCGCAGAAAUGUGGUUUCCCCUUUGGGGCCGGUUCACAGGUGGUGCAUGGUUGUCGUCAGCUCGUGUCGUGAGAUGUUGGGUUAAGUCCCGCAACGAGCGCAACCCUCGUUCCAUGUUGCCAGCGCGUAAUGGCGGGGACUCAUGGGAGACUGCCGGGGUCAACUCGGAGGAAGGUGGGGACGACGUCAAAUCAUCAUGCCCCUUAUGUCUUGGGCUUCACGCAUGCUACAAUGGCCGGUACAAAGGGUUGCGAUACUGUGAGGUGGAGCUAAUCCCAAAAAAGCCGGUCUCAGUUCGGAUUGGGGUCUGCAACUCGACCCCAUGAAGUC